UGUCGCGUUGUUCGUGAAAACUCACAGCUUAACUGUGGGCGUGCGGGCGAUACGGGCAGACUUGAGUACUGCAGGGGAGACUGGAAUUCCUGGUGUAGCGGUGGAAUGCGCAGAUAUCAGGAGGAACACCGGUGGCGAAGGCGGGUCUCUGGGCAGUAACUGACGCUGAGGAGCGAAAGCGUGGGGAGCGAACAGGAUUAGAUACCCUGGUAGUCCACGCCGUAAACGGUGGGUACUAGGUGUGGGUUUCCUUCCUUGGGAUCCGUGCCGUAGCUAACGCAUUAAGUACCCCGCCUGGGGAGUACGGCCGCAAGGCUAAAACUCAAAGAAAUUGACGGGGGCCCGCACAAGCGGCGGAGCAUGUGGAUUAAUUCGAUGCAACGCGAAGAACCUUACCUGGGUUUGACAUGCACAGGACGCCAGUAGAGAUAUUGGUUCCCUUGUGGCCUGUGUGCAGGUGGUGCAUGGCUGUCGUCAGCUCGUGUCGUGAGAUGUUGGGUUAAGUCCCGCAACGAGCGCAACCCUUGUCCUAUGUUGCCAGCGGGUUAUGCCGGGGACUCGUAGGAGACUGCCGGGGCCAACUCGGAGGAAGGUGGGGAUGACGUCAAGUCAUCAUGCCCCUUAUGUCCAGGGCUUCACACAUGCUACAAUGGCCGGUACAAAGGGCUGCGAUGCCGUGAGGUGGAGCGAAUCCUUUCAAAGCCGGUCUCAGUUCGGAUCGGGGUCUGCAACUCGACCCCGUGAAGUCGGAGU
rnacentral:rRNA from 1 species